rnacentral:tRNA from 1 species
GGACCUUUAGCUCAUUUGGUUAGAGUAGACGUCUCAUAACUGUCCAAUCUUAGGUUCGAGUCCUAAAAAGUCCCCUA